UUUGUGGAAUUCGUCUUAUUGUAAGCAGGUGUAGGUGGAUUUAGUAGAAGCUGCAGUUUGGCAGCCGUCGCCAUUGCUUGUUCAUGGUUGUGGAUUUCGAGUAGAUAUGUUCUCAUUUUGUAUUUUUUUAAUACCUUGAUGUAUUUUUAUAUCAAUGUGAUGGGUUUCUUCCUUAUUUUUAUUUCCCACCAGAGAUUGUUCCCUUUGAUCAACUGAUUACGCUUCAGCCUGGAACAAAAGGCGCCAUUACCUGUUGGAAUCGUUGGAUAAAGGAUGCUUUUGGGGGAGGAAAGAAAGAAGGAAAAGAUAGGAUCAAUUGAUUCAAUCAUCAAUUUUUUUCUUCUUCUAAUCACAGCUCCCAUGUAGGAUAGGGGGAAUGAAGGUCAUAUAUGAUAAAGAAGGGUCCUCGCUGCAUGCUGCUACGCUCGCAACCCUAAAUGUUGUAACACGGUGAAAGGAUGAAGGUUAACUGCUAAACCAUCCUAUGCAAAUCCGACCGUUAUUCAGCAAGAUAGCUUGGCGUGGUUGAUAUUUGUGUCAUUCUGUGCAGAUUAGAGUGGUAGUGUCGAUAUCAUGAAUGUUGGAUUUUUUGUAUUUUUGAUG